CUACAGGCAGGCACCACCAUGCCCAGCUAAUUUUUUUUGUAUUUAGUAGAGAUGGGGUUUCACCAUGUUGGCCAGGAUGGUCUGUAUCGCCUGAUCUCGUGAUCCGCCUGCCUUGGUCUCCCAAAGUGCUGGGAUUACAGGUGUGAGCCACCGCACCCAGCUGAUCUUAUGACUUCUUUGAGAGAAGUGGGGAGUCUGAUUUUAUGUGACACCCCCCUACUCCCAUUCACUAAAAUGUCAGCUCCAUGAGGGCAAGGAUUUUUAUCUGUUUUAUUCUCUGGUAUGGCUUGAUACCAUAAGCACUCAAAAGAUAGUUAUUGAAUAAAUGAAACUUUCCAGUACAUGUUGGAAGGGUUUUUAAAAUGUUUUGAAACCAUGCACAGGCCAAACCCGACUUUCAGGACAUGGGUUUUCAACUUCUGAAUGGUAUGAUGGGGUGAUAGUAGGGUAUAAAAGUAUCCUGAGAAGUUGAAAGCAGUGUGUGAAUGGGGUGUUCUUUUCUCCCCACAAUCCUUUCCCAUCUGCUUACAGUAGACUUAGCACCUCAUAGAUGCUUGGGCCUGGAAAUGAAGCCAUGAAAAUGAAGCCCUCAGCCUUCUUGGAGAUCAGAGCCAUGGUCCUCACCCACAGCACAUGGGUCUCUAAACCUGGACCUCAACUCGCCCAUCUGUAAAAUGAGGGACUUACAUUAAAUUCCUACAGCUCCUUUCAGCUUGAACAUUAUCUGAGUCUAUUAGGAUCAUCCUAUAAGGCAUCUUCUCUUUCCCUGCCCCUGAUACCCUAGACCUGGGAGAUUUACUCACCUGGUCCCAGGGGAUCUAUUUCUCCUACUCUACCUGCCAGGGGCUGAGUUUUCUGCCUCACAUCUUGCCAAGAAGAUGAGAAACACGGCUGGAAACCUUGUCCUGGCACCCAUCUCUUCCUACUGCCAUGAACACCAAGGCAGGUUCACACCAAAGGUGUUCUUUUCCUCAUGGCAGGCUCUGACACCUGAUUAAGAGAAACAUCUAAUCUCCCGCUGGUUCCCUCUCUUCUUAAGAGGAGAGGCUUGAGGACCUGCUAAAAGCUUUAUCUCUGCUUGUCCUCUGGGUGAGGCUAAUGAGUGGGGCCAACAGGUGGGGCAGUGUAGGUGCUUUACAGCAGACACGCCUUCAGACCUCUGUUCCCUGAAGGGUGGGGAUGUGGGGGUCACCUCUGCCAGAGGGAGUAGGAGUGGCAAGUUACCUGACCCUCUAGAGUCUCCAUGCCUAGUCUUGUAGAUGGAACCCAGGUUAAAGGAAGGCAUAGAAAGGAGGGUCAGGCCUUCUCUUCUCUACUCAUCUCGAGGGAGGGGAUGGGGAAGGAGCAGAGAGUAGCUGAAGAAGGCAGGGAGAGGCUAGGCUCUGUGCCGGAGGAGAGAGAUUUGUAAGCCAUUUUGGUAAGGAUUUUGAGCAGUUUAGGAGGGAGCAGGGCCAGAGACUGUCACAGAGAAGAGAAGAGUAGGGUAUUUGGGGGAAGAAAUGGAAAUGAUUCUCUAUGGAAAUUAGAGGGUCUGUGCUACUGUUCAUAGAGGAGAUGGCCAAGACAGAGUCUCCUGGGUCAGGAGUGGGUUUGAAGGGUUUCCAUUCUUGUUUGCAGGAACUUGGGGGGUCAGCCAGGUGAGGAGCUACCUCUGCUAUCAACUGGGGGUUGCAGCUUUAGGGAGAGGGGCAUCUCAUGUAGAAGACAAGAUGCCCUGUGCCUGUGGCUGGUCUCUGGGGGACCUGGACACUGUUUUGGAAGGCCACACUGCCCCCUGCCCCCCUAGCAUUCUGUGGCUCCAUCACUUGCUCAGUUGGGCCGGAGUGGAGACACCUCAUUGCCCUCCCUGGCCUGCAGGUGAACGUGCUGGCCCUCAGCAUCUGCACACGGGAAGCCUACCAGUCCAUGAAGGAGCGGAAUGUGGACGAUGGGCACAUCAUUAACAUCAAUAGGUGAGGGCAAGUGGCCAAUGGGUACCACUCACCCACCAGGCUGGGUAAUGUGCUGCAGCUCACCUGACCUCUUUGGACCUCAGUUUCCUUGGUGGGAAAAUAUGGAUUUAAUACCUGAAUGGCACAAUCAUGGUGAGGGAAAGAAUAAUGUUGUCAAGUACCAGCCCCUGGUUGGCUGGAAUGGGCAGCUCAGCCCCUUGCCUCUACAGCUGAAGCCUGGGGCCUCUCGUGGGACUAAGUGCCUCUAUUCCUCAGGCCUGGGGAUGAACCCCACCUCAUGGCACAAAGAGUACUAUGUACAGUGUCUGCCACUGGGGAGCCCCAGUCUGAGGGGAGACAUGGCCUCUGCCUGCCCUGAGAUGUCCCAAUAGAACCAUAUCAGUGAACAUACAGAUUAGAUGGAGAGAAUUCUGACAUUCUGCACCACCAGGAGAGUGCAUUCUGUCGUCAGCUUAGGGACGACUUCCAGGAAAAGGAGGGUUUUCCAAAACUGUUUGAAUAACCAAAAUUAGAUUAGUGAGCUGUGGGAUGGCCAGUAGAGGUCCCCUUUAGAAGUCUUCCCGAUGGGCAUCUGGGUGGUGGGGCUAACCGGGUACGGCAGGGGCACCACUGGUCUCCCUGGAGCUUCAUUCUCUCCUCUUUCCCCUUCCUCUCCCCACCCAGCAUGUCUGGCCACCGAGUGCUACCCCUGUCUGUGACCCACUUCUAUAGUGCCACCAAGUAUGCCGUCACUGCGCUGACAGAGGGACUGAGGCAAGAGCUUCGGGAGGCCCAGACCCACAUCCGAGCCACGGUGAGGCUGUGGCCUAGCCCUGGUGGGGACAGGGUGGCGCAGGCCCUCCCCACCCACACACACCGUUCAGGAAGCCCAUGUUCAGAAUGUGCCGCUUAGAGCUCCUGGGAGUGGACUGGGCACAGAACUGGGUGCUGCUGCUCCCGGCAUGGCCCUAUGCAGCCCUUCAUUUCCUCAUUUCACUGAUCCAGGAGCCAACGACCAGACUUAGACUUUGAGCUGGGAGGGGGCUGACCUGAGGGAAAGCAAGGGACUGUGGGAAACCAGGUGCACAGUGGCUGGAAACCAGGAGUCCGGGCUCUUCUCUUGAAGGCCGCAUGAUCGUGAGCGAGUCACUGAACCUCCCUAAGCCUCGGCCUUCUCAUUUGUGAAAAGGAGAUGAUGAGCUUUUCAGGGACACUUUUUUGUAAAACGUUUACCUGACAUAUAGGAAAGGCUCUGUAGAUGGUAGGUAUCAUGGUCACUGCCAGUGGCAGCUUCGGAGGGAGGAGGCCGCUGCCAGAUAUCGGGCAGCCAUCACUGUGAAGCUGGGGUUCUGUGGCCUCCAUCCUCUCCCCUCGACCUCCCCAAGGCCUGGCAAAGCUCAGACCCUGAGAAGGCCCUCUCUGUUGGCCCAGUGCAUCUCUCCAGGUGUGGUGGAGACACAAUUCGCCUUCAAACUCCACGACAAGGACCCUGAGAAGGCAGCUGGCACCUAUGAGCAAAUGAAGGUGGGGCCUCCCUCUGAGCCUGGUGAAGCCACUGACUCCCUAAAUGAAGGCAGAGGGAAGCUCGGCCUUCAGACUCCACCCUUCCAGCCUUUGUGGCGCCUCCUGGAGGGUUGGGGUGGAUGUGUGGAUGCCACAGAGGAGCUCAGUGGUGGGAGGGAAUUUGAGUCCAUUCUGUCCUUGUCUCAACCCAUUCCCCUGGUGCUCUCAGUGUCUCAAACCCGAGGAUGUGGCCGAGGCUGUUAUCUACGUCCUCAGCACCCCCGCACACAUCCAGGUGAGUCUGGCCCUGACUGUCUACUCACUGGAGGAACCCAACCAGCCCCAGAGGAGGGGAGCAGGGAGCCCUGCAGGGCCGGGGGAGAGUGUCACAGCUGCCUCAUGCCUUGUGCCUUCCACAGAUUGGAGACAUCCAGAUGAGGCCCACGGAGCAGGUGACCUAGUGACUGUGGGAGCUCCUCCUUCCCUCCCCACCCUUCAUGGCUUGCCUCCUGCCUCUGGAUUUUAGGUGUUGAUUUCUGGAUCACUGGAUACCACUUCCUGUCCACACCCCGACCAGGGCCUAGAAAAUUUGUUUGAGAUUUUUAUAUCAUCUUGUCAAAUUGCUUCGGUUGUAAAUGUGAAAAAUGGGCUGGGGAAAGGAGGUGGUGUCCCUCAUUGUUUUACUUGUUAACUUGUUCUUGUGCCGCUGGGCACCUUGGCCUUUGUCUGCUCUCAGGUCUCUUCCCUUUGACAUGGGAAAGGAAUUGUGGCCAAAAUCCCCCGCAUCUUCUUGCACCUCAACGUCUGUGGCUCAGGGCUGGGGUGGCAGAGGGAGGCCCUCACCUUAUAUCUGUGUGGUUAUCCAGGGCUCCAGACUUCCUCCUCUGCCUGCCCCACUGCACCCUCUCCCCCUUAUCUUUCUCCUUCUCGGCUCCCCAGCCCAAUCUUGGCUUCUUGUCCCCUCGUGGGGUCAUCCCUCCACUCUGACUAUGGCAGCAGAACACCAGGGCCUGGCCCAGUGGAUUUCAUGGUGAUCAUUAAAAAAGAAAAAUCGCAACC
rnacentral:sRNA from 1 species